UCGGCCAGGCCCCUAACCCUCGCCGCGGGAAGACGAACCUGGGAUCCCCAGGGCCCGGGCCCUCGCUGCGGCCUGUGUGUCCUGAAGCUGUCUCCCCCUCUAGGCGGCGGGCGGCUUAGCACCCACACCUGCACCCGCCUCCUCCGCAGGGCAGAAGCUCCCGAACGCGCGGCCGCUCCCCGGACCUCCGCACUAGUUCCUUCCUUAUGCGGCCCAGGGCUCCACCCUUGACCCGCGGUCCCCUCCCUAGAGGCAGGAGCUGACACCCAGUGGGCUCCUUCUUUCCCUAGGGCGUGACCUCCGCAGGCUUCAUAGACUCAAAGAAACCACAGGGCACAGGUUAGACUGGGCACACCUUUUAUUUGGCUGCAUGCAGUAGGGCGAAGUCAGGAGAACACUGCUAUCCUUCCAGCAGGACAAGAGGCAAGUUCCAAGGGUGGCUGGCUGGGAGACAGAGGUCUUGGGAAUGGCAGUUCUAGGGGUGGGGUGGGGGCUUGGAAUGCUCUCCAAGCCAGAGGGGGCCUGGCCUGGAUUUGGGAGGUGGACAGGGGAUCCUUCAAACGCCCUACCAUACUCAUCCAGGGCUCACGUGUCCAGCUGUCAGAGCAGGUCCCAAUCCUGCUCCCCACCUACCCUGGGACAUCCUGUGCAGGAUUCCCUCAGUCCUCUGGGAACCUGACCCCACCUGGUACCCAUCUAGCUUCUGGGGCUCCACUGACAGUGAGGACAGUCCACACCCGACCUGGACCCCAUCCCGCCCUGGGUCUGCCCAUCUCAGUCCCGGCCUGAG